rnacentral:rRNA from 1 species
CCUACGGGAGGCAGCAGUGAGGAAUAUUGGUCAAUGGACGAGAGUCUGAACCAGCCAAGUAGCGUGAAGGAUGACUGCCCUAUGGGUUGUAAACUUCUUUUAUAAGGGAAUAAAACGAGGCACGUGUGCCUUUUUGCAUGUACUUUAUGAAUAAGGAUCGGCUAACUCCGUGCCAGCAGCCGCGGUAAUACGGAGGAUCCGAGCGUUAUCCGGAUUUAUUGGGUUUAAAGGGAGCGUAGAUGGGUUGUUAAGUCAGUUGUGAAAGGUUGCGGCUCAACCGUAAAAUUGCAAUUGAUACUGGCAGUCUUGAGUACAGUUGAGGUAGGCGGAAUUCGUGGUGUAGCGGUGAAAUGCUUAGAUAUCACGAAGAACCCCGAUUGCGAAGGCAGCUUACUAAACUGUGACUGACAUUGAUGCUCGAAAGUGUGGGUAUCAAACAGGAUUAGAUACCCGAGUAGUC